UCUGGAGAUCGGAGGCAAAUCCCUAAAGCAUAGAGUCGUUGCCAAGUCAAUCCAAUUGAAUCCGAUAAUUUCAAGCUAGGAUUCCAAAGUUUGAACAUUUAAUCCGUCUUUGUAAAGUCUGAGGCAUUCAAAUAGAUAAGGGAAGAAGGGAAAUCAGUUUCAUCUCGAAUUUCAUAGAUUUGCAUUUGGAAUCAAGGAGAGGGAGCCAAUUGUAGUUUGAAACAUUAGAUGCAGCAAGGUCAGAGAAGAAACUAAAGUGUUCUGUGUACAGCAACUACUCCAUCAGAAGACAUUGCUUUGUUGGAUGCAAAGUCCUUUCAAAAGGUUUGUUCUGCUUCAAGUUGUCAACAACAAAGUGAAUCAUGUAAUUUUCUCUCCUGUAAUUUUUUUGUUUUGUCCCUCCUUCCUUUGUUGGUUUUUGCAAUCUGGCCUUUGUACAAUUGUAGAUAGGAUAAUUGUACAAAUACUUCUGAUGCAUGACUUACUUCAUACAUACUUCUGAUGCUUGGAAUCGAAAAGGGAUACCACAUUGUUUGGUCUUUAUUGCGUGUAUUGAUUUCUAUCUAUUAUUUUUGAAUUGAAUUUUACAAUAGACCAACUUUUUUAGACCCACUACUAUGAUAAGAUCAUCUUUUGUUUUAGAUGAUCAACAGUAAUGAAAACAAUUCUAUCAUUUA